rnacentral:rRNA from 1 species
AGAUUGAACGCUGGCGGCAUGCCUAACACAUGCAAGUCGAACGGGAGUAGCAAUACUCUAGUGGCGGACGGGUGAGGAAUACGUAGGAAUUUGCCCUUAAGUGGGGGAUAACCCGGGGAAACCCGGAUUAAUACCGCAUGACCUCGAAAGAGCAAAGUGGGGGAUCGCAAGACCUCACGCUUUUGGAGAAGCCUACGUCGGAUUAGCUAGUUGGUGAGGUAAUGGCUCACCAAGGCGACGAUCCGUAACUGGUCUGAGAGGAUGAUCAGUCACACCGGACUGAGCACGGUCCGGACUCCGUACGGGAGCAGGCAGGUGGGGAAUAGUUGGACAAUGGGCGCAAGCCUGACUCCAGCAAUCGCCGCGUGUGUGAAGA